GCCAGGCAUGGUGGUGCAUGCCUAUAGUCCCAGCUCCUUGGAAGGCUGGGGAGGGAGGAUUGCUUGAGGCCAGGAGUUCAAGGUGGCAGUGCGCUAUGCUUGUGCCCACGAAUAGCCACUGCACUCCAGCCUGGACAACACAGCAAGACCCUGUCUCAA
rfam:Gorilla gorilla gorilla genomic chromosome, chr1, whole genome shotgun sequence